rnacentral:rRNA from 1 species
CCCGCUGAACUUAAGCAUAUCAUUAAGCGGAGGAAGAGAAACCAACAGGGAUUCCCCUAGUAGCGGCGAGCGAACCGGGAUGAGCCCAAGCCAUAAUCUGGGUGACCGCGCGUCACUCCGAAUUGUAGUCUCAAGGCAGGGAGUUACCGAAGUCUUCUCUCAGGUUCAAAUCUCCUGGAACGGAGUGCCGUGGAGGGUGAGAGCCCCGUGCGACGACUUGAGUGAAGGAGGCUUCGAUCGUCAUCUCUCUGCUCCGGAGUCGGACUGCUCGGGAAUGCAGUCCUAAUCAGGUGGUGGACCCCACCUAAGGCUUGAACACUAACGGGAGACCGAUAGCGGACAAGUACCGUGAGGGAAAGAUGAAAAGAACCCCGGGAGGGGAGUCAAAAGUGCCUGAAAUCGUUGGGAGGGAAGCGCUCUGGGACGACGUUUACCACGCCUUUUUAUGCCGUCCGAUAUAGCAUCAGUACACUCUGUGGAGGUCAGGAGGGUCGUUCCUUCUUCACGGAAGGCACUGGCUCCUUGCACAUCAUAGAACUGGUGUGUUGAUGCUGUGUCUAUCCAGCGUAAAAAGGUCGUCGGUGUCAGCUUUUCCGGUGACAGGAAGACUUGUAGGAGGGUUUUGAAGUGGGCAACCAUAUUUGAAAUGCCUAUAGAUCUGGUGUCGUCGGAGAGGCUGAGGAAACCACGGGGACUAUGCGCCUACUAACCUCGCAAGAGGCAGCGGGCAGAGUAACUUUGUUUCGGUUGUGAGACAUUCUUUUGGGCCGGCAACCGGUGCUUAGGGAUGGGCUUGUGAUCUUGAAUGAACGUUACUCUUGCAUAAUCGUGACACCGGCGUUGCGGCCCUGAGCGACCCGUCUUGAAACACGG